AUUCGUUCAACAAGAAAAGAAGACUCUCUCGAGACAGAGCGAGCGGACACUAGGGUUUCGAAACCAGUGAGCAAUGUCUCUGCUUCCAAGUUUAUUAUAGGAUCGUAAUGUGCAUAGAUCGAGCUCUCUAUCUGAAAGGUUAAGCUCCUCAGAUUUCUGAAUCAGAAAGACAAAGACGAAGAGGCAGCAAUCUCAAGUAAUAUACAGUGUAUCGAUUGAUGGCCAAGACCACGAAGCAUUGCAUCCGAGGAAGAUUCCACCAUCGUCGUCCCUGUUAUGGGCCCGAAACCGUCGCCAUUACAUCGGAUCCGGUGCUGGUCUCGGUUCCAAAGCAUUAAUGGGUCUGUAUUUUAUCUAAUUCCUUGACAAUUUUGUGUUUUGGUUGAUCAAUUGCGAAACUCAAAAAACCAAUUGGCAGCUAUGACAUGAUUGAAUUUGAAUAGACGAUGUAGUUUCACAAUUUUGGCAUUCUUAACAGUGUUUAAAUUUGUGUCUUUUAUCUGAAUUUAGUUGUCUAUACAAAAACAAUUUUGCUGUUGUUGUUGUGAUUUUGUCAGUAUAAUCAAUGCCGUGGUGGAAUUGGAACCAGCUUAAGGUGGUUUCCAACUCAAAAUUCAAGGCUCGGAUUCCUUGCUGCCAGUCUUUACACUAUGUUUGGAUUUUUAGGAGAGAAAAGAAAAGAAAUGAUUGUGAUUUCUCUCUUGUUUGGUUAAGUUGGAAAGACUCCAAAUUGUUUGGAUAGACUAUAUAAAAGAAAAGAAAAUCUUACAGUUUAUAUUACCAAAAUAACUGUUUAUGUUUUUAUUUCUUUUGUUGGUAGAUGGACGAUUAAUUAGUAAUCUUCUUAUUUAUUUUCUCUCCCAAUCUCUUCAAUUUGGAGAGAUUCAAAAAGUGAGUUAUGAGAGAAAUCAAUAUUUCCAUUUCUCCUCAUUUAUCUCCUGUUUAUUAAUCCAAACAAGUGAUUAGGAUCCAGAGGAUUUGAUUUCUUUUCUUUUCUCUCCAAAUCACUCAAUCCAAACUAGGUGUUAAUGAUUUGGGGAGGUUGAGGCUUAAAAUUUUGUUCCGGAGUUUGUGGGUCAUCCACAGUAGGAGGGUUAUUUAUGUGGGUAUGGAUUAUACAUUUUUAGGAUUUAUUUUUUUUGGUCAGGCUUGAUGGUAAUGUUAAUGUUAAUUCAUGUGGGUAUGGAUUAAAGAUUGCAUGUUGACAAUAUAUUUAUGUUAGUUAGUUAUCUCAAAAUGGGAUUUCUUUAUCUGCUGUUAUUGGCGGCUUGUAUAUGGCAUUUUGUGCAUGAAUUACAUGGCAGAUGUAAACAUGGCCAUGAUUACCACGUGCAUGUUUCUCUAGUAGUAUAACUGUAUACAUUGUGCUUUGAUUUAUAGAGCUUGAGACAAAGAAAAUAUUGCUUAAUAUUUUCAAAGAGAAGCAGCAAAAGAGUGCUAAAGCUGGCACAAUUCCAAGCUUCUAUAAGAAGAAACCAGAAGAAGGAUCCAUCAGUCACAGGGUCCAGAGGGUGGCUAAAUAUCGUUUUCUAAAGGUACAGGUAGUAUGCCACCUCCAAGGACAUAGCUUGGAUGAUGAUGAGAGUUGAAGACUCUU